rnacentral:rRNA from 1 species
CAUGCCGUAAACGAUGAGUGCUAAGUGUUGGGAGGUUUUCCGCCUCUCAGUGCUGCAGCUAACGCAUUAAGCACUCCGCCUGGGGAGUACGACCGCAAGGUUGAAACUCAAAGGAAUUGACGGGGGCCCGCACAAGCGGUGGAGCAUGUGGUUUAAUUCGAAGCAACGCGAAGAACCUUACCAGGUCUUGACAUCUAGUGCCAUUUGUAGAGAUACAAAGUUCCCUUCGGGGACGCUAAGACAGGUGG